rnacentral:rRNA from 1 species
GUGGACGCCAGUCUGCGUGGAGCCGACCUUGAAAUACCACCCUUUAAUGUUUGAUGUUCUAACGUGGACCCGUAAUCCGGGUUGCGGACAGUGUCUGGUGGGUAGUUUGACUGGGGCGGUCUCCUCCUAAAGAGUAACGGAGGAGCACGAAGGUUGGCUAAUCCUGGUCGGACAUCAGGAGGUUAGUGCAAUGGCAUAAGCCAGCUUGACUGCGAGCGUGACGGCGCGAGCAGGUGCGAAAGCAGGUCAUAGUGAUCCGGUGGUUCUGAAUGGAAGGGCCAUCGCUCAACGGAUAAAAGGUACUCCGGGGAUAACAGGCUGAUACCGCCCAAGAGUUCAUAUCGACGGCGGUGUUUGGCACCUCGAUGUCGGCUCAUCACAUCCUGGGGCUGAAGUAGGUCCCAAGGGUAUGGCUGUUCGCCAUUUAAAGUGGUACGCGAGCUGGGUUUAGAACGUCGUGAGACAGUUCGGUCCCUAUCUGCCGUGGGCGCUGGAGAACUGAGGGGGGCUGCUCCUAGUACGAGAGGACCGGAGUGGACGCAUCACUGGUGUUCGGGUUGUCAUGCCAAUGGCACUGCCCGGUAGCUAAAUGCGGAAGAGAUAAGUGCUGAAAGCAUCUAAGCACGAAACUUGCCCCGAGAUGAGUUCUCCCUGAGACUUAGAGUCUCCUGAAGGA